AGGAUAAUAGUUUAAAAAAACAUUUGAUUUGCACUCAAAAAAUAUUAAUUUAUUUAUUUUAUCUUA
rnacentral:tRNA from 1 species